CUGGUUCAGAACGAACGCUGGCGGCGCGUCUUAAGCAUGCAAGUCGGACGGCAAGGGUUGUGCUUGCACAACUCCUAGAGUGGCGGACUGGUGAGUAACGCGUGGGUGACCUGCCCUCGAGAUGGGGAUAGCCAUUAGAAAUAGUGGAUAAUACCGAAUACGCUCAUGACCCUGUGGGGAUAUGAGGAAAACAGGCUACGGCCUGGCUCGAGGAUGGGCCCGCGUCCCAUUAGCUAGUUGGUGAGGUAACGGCCCACCAAGGCGACGAUGGGUAUCCGGCCUGAGAGGGUGUACGGACACAUUGGGACUGAGAUACGGCCCAAACUCCUACGGGAGGCAGCAGCUAAGAAUAUUCCGCAAUGGACGAAAGUCUGACGGAGCGACGCCGCGUUGGAUGAAGAAGGCCGGAAGGUUGUAAAAUCCUUUUGAAACUGAAGAAUAAGCGUUGUAGGGAAUGACAGCGUGGUGACAGUAGGUUUUGAAUAAGCAACGGCUAAUUACGUGCCAGCCGCCGC
rnacentral:rRNA from 1 species